AAAUAGUUAAGGACAUUUAUUUCUGUUCAUACAACAAAUAUACAGUUUAUAUUCCUGACAACAAUGGUGCAGAAUAUGAGAGGAAGAUUUGUCAGGCAGAGAACAAAAUUGAUUGUGUAGACAGAGUGAUCAGUAAAAUUUCAAAUGGUAAGUAAAUAUCAAACAUGAAUCAAUAAAGAUUUCCUUCAAUUAGUAAUUCUUUUCUUAUUUACACUGUUAGGAUGCAUUUAUGUGCUGUCAACCCUUAACUGUGUGUUAAGGUUUGGUGCCUGGUGCCAUCAGUGUCACUGAGCUGGACCUCCUGGCCACUUGUGGUGCUGCUGGAUCAGCUGUGUCCAAAGCACUCAGUGUUUGUUUCACUGGAGGAGGGGAGCACUGCUGGGCUCCUGUGAGCAUAACCACUGCACCCUUUCCUUAUCCAUUUUCAGUGUCACAGGGAGGUUUUUCCUAUUAGAAAAUAGGAAAUGUAAAGUACAGACUAAUCAGAUUGCAAAGAAUCCUUCUAAGUGGUUAGUGAUAGAGGUGAAGAAACCUCAUGGUUUAUCAAUCAGAAGAAAAAAUCAAAUUAAUAAAUACUUAAUUUCAUGGUGGUAGGGUGGGGUGAACCAAUGAAAGGGAACUGGGGGAUUACAGGAUGAUCUUGAUAGCUGCAGCCUCUGGAGAAGACUCUCUUCAAACAAGAAUUUGAAGGAGCUGGAGGAUCUCUUCAAACAAGAUCCUGCAGAGGCUCCACUUGUUUCUCCCAGGAAUGACUGUGUGAUAAGCACUUGUCUUGGAAGGGGCUCAAGAAUGAUGCAGUAGAUGGCAGAAUGGCCCUGCAGUCCUUUUUCUGCACAGAAGACUGGAGACUCACAGAUAUGCAGUGUGCCUUCUUAUCACAAACAGUACAUUCUGAUCCUGGUGUUUAGGAUUUGCACUGAGCAGCUUCUCUGUUGCUUUCCCUGGUGUUAUGUAGUGGCAGACAAAGCUGUUCAACAGACAAAGUGUUCACUGAGAAAUUAUGGUUGUCCUGUCAGCACUGUCCCCUGCAACUUGAUCUCAUCCUACAAACAUCUUUUAUUGAGGGCACUGGGACUAUUCUUGCAUAGAUGCUUGCAGGAUUGUAGUACACAACACUAUUAAUUAAAACCUUUCUACUUCCUCAAACUUUUCUAGUAUGCUGAGAUACUGGAUUCAAUGAUCUAACAAAUAUCCUCAAACACAAAGCAAAAUAGGAUAUUUACUUCCAUUAUAAUAAUCUCUUGUUUGAAGACCACUGUGUUCCCCUCUGUUCACAAAAAUAAGCUAUAUAAAGUUAAAAGAGUAUACAAAUAACUGUCUGAUAUACACAUUAAAACCUAGCUAUUAAAUCCAGAGCAUUGCUAUAGAAAAUUCAGUGUUCUCAAUAUUACCUGGCAUUAGCUACAGUGGAUUUCUUGCAGUUACACUUAAUAUCCCUUUGGAUGCAGGUAAAUUCCUCCCUCAUGAUUAAAGAAUGGGGGAAGUGUUUUAAAAUCCACAAAAGCAAAAUAUAAAAACAAUUUGAACAAAUUAAGAGACUAGAGAUAUGAAAUUUCACUGAACCAGCCAGUGCUUCUAUUUGCCUUUGCCCUCACAAUCAGUUCUGAACCUGGCUCAGGCUUUCCACAGGAACAAUGAAGUGCAGUGAUACCUCCCCUCCCCCAGCCAUUUGCUCACUGGGUCAAUACAGAGAACUGACAUCUCACUCUCAGUUUAGUCAGGUUGUGUUGCUCAUUUAAGCAUUACAAAGUCAGAGAUGUAACUUCUCUCUCAAAUAUUUGUGAUACCUUGGGGUACUUUUAAUCACGAAGUACAAUCAUCCUUUCUUGACUUGUGAAAUACAGCUUCCAGAGGGCCCUGAUCUGCAUUACUGAUGUAUGCAUAAAGUGAUUCACUGUUGUAAACUUGAAAAUCAAUAAGGAAUUAGCUUCAAGCAUUUGUUCUUCCCAACAUUACUGUCUUAGUUUAUGUUAACUGCAAUCAGAAUGGUUUAAUAAUGGACCUCUGCUGUAGAGAGACUUGCAGGUU
ensembl:lncRNA